AAAGAUGGUCGGUCUGAUUAGAAUGGAAGGACUCAGCACUGCUGUAGAAGCAGCCAAGGGGACAGUCGGCCUCAGAAGCAGGAGCUUAGGCCAAGGAAGCUGAAGGAGUUCUUCCAGAAAUCCCUCUAAUAGCCUCACGCAGGCUGUGAUCCUCCCUUCUGUAGGGAUGCACAGAGGCU